GGCCGCGAGCCGCACGGGCGGCGAGCUGCCCGCGCCCACCAUGCUGGGAAAGACCGCGGUCGUCGCGGUCGCGAGGCCGAGCGUUCGCGCCUCGUGCGCGAACGCCGGAUCGACCGGAUGAUCGGCCCGCACGACGAAAUCCGCGCCGAGCAUCCGGCGUGCGUCGCGCUCGAGCCCCUGGCGCAGCCUAUCGGCGAGAAAGCCGACGCUCGUGAGCGCCGCGACGGCAAGCACGAGCGCGAGCGCGACGAGCGUCAACUCGCCCGCGCGCCAGUCGCGCAGCGUCAUCCGCCCGGCCUGCCGCAGCAGAUCGACGAGGCCGAAACGGCGGCCGGCCGGCCUCGCUUUGCCCGCCGCCGUCAAUCGCGCUUGCUCCCGAUCGAAUUCAGCCGCGACACCAUGUGGUUCGCCAUCCCGCGAAAGCCGCCCGACACGCCGCGCCAGAGGCGCGGCAACGCCCACGCGGAAAACGCGAGAAAGCCGAUCAUCAGCGCGAGGAACAGCAGCGGCACGAAGAAUGCGAGCACGAGGCCGCCGACCGUGAGCCCGUCCUCCGUCGUCGACGCGAUCCAGUUCGAGAUCGGUUCCGGCGACAGAUUGAUGAGUGCGCGCGUGCCCGCCUUCGCGAUAUGCGCGGAACCGGCGAGCGUGCCGCCCGCGAGGCCCGCGACGACGAGGAGCGCGGGAUCGGCGUGGCCGAGCGACGCCGCCGCGAGCACCGCGCCCGCGGGAAUCCGGAUGAACGUGUGGACGGCGUCCCACAGCGAAUCGAACGCGGGAACCUUGUCGGCGAGGAACUCGGCGACCGCGAGCACGGCGGCCGAGCCGAUCACCCACGGCGACGUGAGCACCGCGAGCGUGUCGGGCAGAUGAAUGAAGCCGGCGCGCGCGAACACGCCCGCGAUCAGCACGGUGAGAUAGAGGCGCAGGCCGCUCGCCCACGCGAGCCCCGCGCCGAGCGAAAUGGCUUCGACCAUGUGCCGCCUCCUUGCGCAAUGCGCGCGGUUCGAGGGCGGGCCGCGCCCGGGCUCGGGCGAAGCGGCCCAUCGACCCGCCGGCCCCGCCGAUUCACGCGCGGCGGCGGGACAUUGUCAGAUGGAUUGCGCUUCAUUAUAGACGCGCGCCGCGCACAACCGCCGUAGCGCCGACGCAGGGGCAAACCCUGCGCUCAGCCGGCCGACGACAGCUUCAGGCCGACGAGCCCGGCGACGAUCAGCGACGCACUCGCGAUCCGGGCGAGCGUCACCGCUUCGCCGAGCAUCACGAUCCCGAAAAUGAACGCGCCGACCGCGCCGAUGCCCGUCCAGACCGCGUACGCGGUGCCGAGCGGCAAUUCGCGCAUCGCGACGGCGAGCAGGCCGAAGCUGCCGAGCGCGGUGACGAUCGUGAAGACGGACGGGCCGAGACGCGUGAAGCCCUCGGACGAUUUGAGACCGGCCGCCCACGCAACUUCGAGCAAACCGGCGACGAGAAGCCACAGCCAAGGCAUGCGGAGACUCUCCAUGAAUCAAUUGGGGUCGUCCCCGUUGAACAUCGACGGCCCGGGGUCGUCCCCGGGCAGCGAAAGUAUAACAACAGGCUUACAGCCUUGCCGGCCGGCCGCGCCGGCGGCAUCGAGACAUCGCGUGCGCGUUCGCGAGCCCCUUCAUGCCGGCGCCCGCGCGUCGAACGCGCCGGCAGGACAACGCGCGCCGCGCUGCGCGGUCACUUCGACGCGGGCUUUCCGCCGCGUUGCGCGAUCGGCCAGCCGUGCGCAUCGAGCUGCACGCAGCGGUCGUCGCGAUAGAGCGCCCAUUCCUCGCACUCGCGCCCGUCCUUGAACGCGCAGAUGCCGAACUGGCCGCGCGGCCCAUCGUGGAUCACCACCUUGCCGCCCAGCUUUUCGCAAUUCACCGACGCCGGAUUCGCGAGCGUGGUCGACUGAUUCGGCGGCAACGGCUGCGCAAGCGCCGUCGCGGCGGCGAUGCCCAAUGCGCAACCGAACAGUAGACGGACGAGCAUGGCUGACCUCCUCAAGAUAUUUGUCGAGCAUUCAGCAUAAGAGAAAAAUGCCCGACGCGGCGCCGGGCGCGAUCGAAAACGUGCUCGGGCCGCCCCGGAGCGGGCGGCUUCCGCGCUCGAUACCCGGCGAUGCGCGGCGCGAGCCGGGGCGUUCGGGCGCGGCGGCGGGAAACGAUGACCGGCGAUGACCAACGACGACGGGCGGCGAGCGGCGGCCGGCGAGAGACCAAGGCCGGAUGGCGACGGCAAGCCGGAUGGCGAGCGAAAAACCGCGGGCGGAAAUCGGUGGUUAGUGGGCGGGGGGCGGGGGGCGGUGGCCGGCAACCCAUGAGCCGCAAGCCACACCGUGGCCCGCGCGCCGGCCUCGCCCGCCCCGGCGCGUCAGCCCGCGCCGACGAGCCGGUAACCGACGCCCGUCUCGGUCACGAUGUGCUGCGGCUGCGCGGGGUCGGCCUCGAGCUUCUGCCGCAAAUGCGCCAUGUAGAUCCGCAGGUAGUGGUGGCUCUCGACGUGCGUCGGCCCCCAGACGUCGCGCAACAGCUGGCGGUGCGUGAGCACGCGGCCCGCGUGCCGCACGAGCGUCGCGAGCAGCCGGUAUUCGAGCGGCGUCAGAUGCACGACCUCGCCGCCCCGCCAUACCCGCCGCAGCGCGAGGUCGACGCUCACGUCGCCGAACCUGACGACCGGCGAUUCGGCCGCGCCUGCCUGAUUGCGCCGCCGCAGAUGCGCGCGGAUCCGCGCGAGCAGCUCGGAUACGCCGAACGGCUUCGUCAGGUAAUCAUCCGCGCCGGCGUCGAGCGCGGCCACCUUCUCCUCCUCGUGCGUGCGCGCCGACAGCACGAUCACCGGCAUCUCGGACCAGCCGCGCAGCUCGCGGAUCACGUCGAGGCCGUCGCCGUCCGGCAGGCCGAGAUCGACGAUCGCGAGAUCGGGCUUGCGGGUCGCGGCCUCGAUCAGGCCCUGGCGGCCCGUUUCGGCGUCGAACACGGCGAUCCCCUCUUCCUCGAGCGCG
rnacentral:rRNA from 1 species